UUUGCAGAGCUGAGUUUAAAGUCUUGUCAUUGAUGUGUCAGGUAUCAUCAAGUGUGGAGAAAACCCUUUUAUGGAAGCAGCAGUGAAAGAGAAGAAUACAGGAGGGAGCUGCUGGAACAGUUAAAGAGGCAGAUGGAGGAGAAACGUGUGGCCCUGAAACUGCAGCUGGUCGGUAAUGUGAAGGAGUCCGAGUAUUUAUGUGAAGUGGACCGUCUCGCCCUGUCCAGUGACAGAGAGCAAAGGAUCCAGCACAGCAGAGCAAUGACAGUGUUCAGAGACGAGAACAAGAAGCUAAUGGAGCAGAGCUGGAGGGACAGAGCACUAACACGCUCCCAGGAGAUCCUGAAGGAGAGAGAGCUGCUCCGCCUCAACCCCAUUAACUGGAGUGGAACACUGAAAUAGGUUGAACCUCAACAUCCUGGGGAACAGACUUCAGGCUUUGCUGCAGGACCUGGUUCGGCACAGGGGUCGGAUAACAUUGAAAAAUAACAUACUGUAUAUAAUGCAUGUAAUUACUGCUGUGAUAGUCAUUGAUGGAACAUUUGGAGGGGUUUAUAAUUAGCAUUAGAAUGUCACUGUUAUCUUAGAGUAUGGUAAAAAUCUAAACAUAGAACUGACACAAUUUAUAAUGGUGCUUCUGUUACAUUGUCAGACUUGUUUUUAAAGUUGACCAUAGUAUUAAAAUAGAUGCAGCAGAACCAGAGAUAUCGUCUUUCUUAUUCCAUUCGUUCAACCUUGUCUAAACCUGAUGCCUACAUUACCCACAAUGCAACUUGACCAGCAAAUGUUGAGAGUUUUUGCAUCUCCUUUAAUUUAUGACAAAACAUGCUGUUGAAGAAAACAAA